CCUGACUACAGAAACGAUGUCAUACAGUCCUAUGAGGCUCUACUUUAGACCCGCUCCUGGCUCAUACCCUAUUGGUUCAAGAACUGGCAAACAAUUACUGGGCUCAUGGCUAAUGCCAUUCUGUGUCUUCCACUUCCCUGCCUCCUCCUUAUAAAGUGACACCAGAGACAAACUUUUUAUGUAUCUAUUACUAUUUAUAUAUUUUCUUAAAUUUUAAAAAAAGCUAUGUUACAACCAAAUUUCUAA